GACGAACGCUGGCGGCGUGCUUAACACAUGCAAGUCGAACGAGUGGCGAACGGGUGAGUAACACGUGGGUGUUCUGCCUUGCACUUCGGGUUAAGACUGGGAACCUGGGUCAAAUACGGGUUAGUGCAAGAUGACCGCGGGGCCUAUUAGCUAGUUGGUGGGGUAAUGGCUACCAAGGCGCGACGGGUAGCCGGCCGGAGAGGGUGUACGGCAACGUUGGGACGGAGAUACGGGACAGAAUGCUGCGGGAGGGAGCAGUGGGGAAUAGUGCGCAAUGGGCGGAAGCCUGAUGCAGCGACGCCGCGUGGGGGAUAAAGGCCUUCGGGUUGUAAACUACUUUCGACAGGGACGCGGUACCUGUAUAAGAAGCACCGGCUAACUACGUGCCAGCAGCCGCGGUAAUUC
rnacentral:rRNA from 1 species